rnacentral:rRNA from 1 species
AUUCACGCUGGCGGCAGGCCUAACCCAUGCAAGUCGAGCGGAUGAAGGGAGCUUGCUCCUGGAUUCAGCGGCGGACGGGUGAGUAAUGCCUAGGAAUCUGCCUGGUAGUGGGGGAUAACGUCCGGAAACGGGCGCUAAUACCGCAUACGUCCUGAGGGAGAAAGUGGGGGAUCUUCGGACCUCACGCUAUCAGAUGAGCCUAGGUCGGAUUAGCUAGUUGGUGGGGUAAAGGCCUACCAAGGCGACGAUCCGUAACUGGUCUGAGAGGAUGAUCAGUCACACUGGAACUGAGACACGGUCCAGACUCCUACGGGAGGCAGCAGUGGGGAAUAUUGGACAAUGGGCGAAAGCCUGAUCCAGCCAUGCCGCGUGUGUGAAGAAGGUCUUCGGAUUGUAAAGCACUUUAAGUUGGGAGGAAGGGCAGUAAGUUAAUACCUUGCUGUUUUGACGUUACCAACAGAAUAAGCACCGGCUAACUUCGUG